GAUUGGCGUCGUCAAAGGCAGGUGGAGGAGAGUCUUCGUUGUUGUAGUGAGAGACCAAAGUGUCGAAACAGUACACAGCCAUCUCUUUGUUCGCCGACGCCAUUGUGUGCUUUUGAAGAAAACAAAAAAAAAACAAAAUUAGCAAGUAGUAUAGUGUGAACCUGAAAUUAUCCAAAAUCCAACUUAUAAAAAUACAACUACUAAGCAUGUGACUGGAUUUAUAUAAAAGGAUUAUUUUCCCCCACAAAAAGAGAUUUAGUUUAUGCUUACAAACACAACCCAACACAACCCAAAAACGAAUCACACAAAGAAUAUAGCAUUCUCAGAGAUAAACUAAUAAAAUAAUAUGAACACUGAAUAGUGACGAUGAAGAUUGGAGAAGUAAAUUGAUCGUUUUUUUUUCUAUAUAUAUUAAUAUAUAUAUGGGGAUUAAAAUCAAAAGCCACCACGAAAUCUAGAAGGAGCAUAGAGAGAGAUCUGUGAUAAGAAUUGAAAAGUUCAAACAGAUAGAGAAAUCAAUUGGGAGGAGCAUAAUAAGCGGAUAAAACCUGAGGAAAGCGCAAAAAGAAUCGAAGAUCGGUGGUGAGAUUGUUAAAAGUGUGUUUUAUGUUUCAGAAGCAAAGCUUUUCUUUUAAGACACUGACAAUUGUGUUUGGCUGGUGUGUCUUUUUCUUGAAGAGGACUUUAAUAACUACUAUUUUAUAUCAGACUUUCACACUUGGGCCCAUUAUCCGGACAUAAUACCUGGACCCAAUAUCCAAACAUAACACUCGGGCCCAAGAAAUUUGUAUUUUUUUAAAUAAAAUUAAGAAGUUUCAUAUAUUAUGUUUAUAUAUAAAAUUAAGAAAUUUGUAUAUUAUGGUUAACGGUGAUGGUUCGCGUGAAAUCUUCCUCUCGGUGCUUGCCAUGAAUGAUGAUGGAUGAGAUCACGAACAGUUUUUGAAAUUGGGUUCACUUGAGUUGAAGACGUUUGCGGUGGUAAUGGUGUGAAGUCAGUGAGCUCUAGUGGAUCCGGGUGAAUCGACGGUUGGUUAUCCGAUGUUAUUUCGAAACGAGAGCGAUGUCGGAGCUGCAGCGUUUGUCCGCGCGGCGGCAGAGCCUCGUGUGUCCUAGGGUUUCAUAGUUGAACCUUAGGCCCAAAAUUUUAUUGUAUUUUGGUCCGUUUCUUUGGACUUCUGUAUGUUGUACUGUAGGUUUUUUAGGCCCGUUAAUCAAAUAUCUAUUGAGGGACGGUACUAUAUUCUUAUUUUAUGUUUAGAAACAGGAGACUAAGAUGAAGAGUGAAGAGUGAAGACAGUACCUCCCAAUCAAGAUAAUCCUCUGCAUCUUCAUAAUCAGUCAAGACGGACACCGUGCAUUGCAGAAACGGCAGUUCUUUGGGUUGGAUUGGUGGGAACCUACGAUCCCUCAGGGCACUGUGAUAUUACAUAAAUCAAAAAGGUACAUUUAUAACAAAUGACAUUGUACAGAAGAAAAAAAAGAGGUAGAUUAAGCUAAUGGGCAAACGCCAAGGAAUAUCAAAAUGUGUGAGUAAGUUACCUGGUCAAGGCAUAGUCCUUGAAGCCACUGAUCAAGCGGCGUGCUUCAAGUGUACCAAUACAUCCACGCAAACGAGGCUCCCCACCGUUCACUAUUUUCUUCCAGGUGACAAACAAUGGGCUACAAAGAAAACAACCACUGGACUAUGAGUAAGAGAAGAUGAUGUAAAACACCAAAUCAUCCAAUCUAUUCUACAUAUUUACUACUACUGACAACAAGUGGGAGAUGAACUUGCAUGUCACUAACAUAACAAACACAACAGGAGUUUUAAUGAAACGUACUGAUUGGCGUCGUCAAAGGCAGGUGGAGGAGAGUCUUCGUUGUUGUAGUGAGAGACCAAAGUGUCGAAACAGUACACAGCCAUCUCUUUGUUCGCCGACGCCAUUGUGUGCUUUUGAAGAAAACAAAAAAAAAACAAAAUUAGCAAGUAGUAUAGUGUGAACCUGAAAUUAUCCAAAAUCCAACUUAUAAAAAUACAACUACUAAGCAUGUGACUGGAUUUAUAUAAAAGGAUUAUUUUCCCCCACAAAAAGAGAUUUAGUUUAUGCUUACAAACACAACCCAAC
rnacentral:lncRNA from 1 species